UCCGAUAUAGUGUAGGGGCUAUCACAUCACGCUCUCAUCAAGAAUACUUCUUGAGAACCGUGGAGACCGGGGUUCGAUUCCCCGUAUCGGAG
rfam:Yarrowia lipolytica CLIB122 chromosome E complete sequence